UACGGAGGGGACUAGCGUUGUUCGGAAUUACUGGGCGUAAAGAGUACGUAGGCGGCUUGCCAAGUUGGAUGUGAAAGCCCGGGGCUCAACCCCGGAACUGCAUUCAAAACUGGUUGGCUAGAGAUCGGAAGAGGUAAGUGGAAUUCCCAGUGUAGAGGUGAAAUUCGUAGAUAUUGGGAAGAACACCGGUGGCGAAGGCGACUUACUGGUCCGAUACUGACGCUGAGGUACGAAAGCGUGGGGAGCAAACAGG
rnacentral:rRNA from 1 species